AUCAGUGUCAGUUAAUUAUUAGUAAUCUGCCUUCGCAAUUGGUAUUCUAUGUAAUAUCUAUGCAUUUCACCGCUACACUACAUAUUCUAACUACUUCAUAAUAACUCAAGAUAACCAGUAUCAAAGGCAAUUUUACAGUUGAGCUGCAAACUUUCACCUCUGACUUAAUUAUCCACCUACGGACCCUUUAAACCCAAUGAUUCCGGAUAACGCUUGGAUCCUCCGUAUUACCGCGGCUGCUGGCACGGAGUUAGCCGAUCCUUAUUCUUACAGUACCGUCAGAGCUCUACACGUAGAGCGGUUUCUUCCUGUAUAAAAGCAGUUUACAACCCAUAGGGCAGUCUUCCUGCACGCGGCAUGGCUGGAUCAGAGUUGCCUCCAUUGUCCAAUAUUCCUCACUGCUGCCUCCCGUAGGAGUCUGGUCCGUGUCUCAGUACCAGUGUGGGGGAUCCCCCUCUCAGGGCCCCUAUCUAUCGUAGCCAUGGUGUGCCGUUACCACACCAUCUAGCUAAUAGAACGCAUACUCAUCUCUUACCGCCGAAGCUUUAAUUAUUAACUGAUGCCAGUUAAUAAUACCAUGGGAUAUUAAUCUUCAUUUCUAAAGGCUAUCCCCCUGUAAAAGGUAGAUUGUAUACGCGUUACGCACCCGUGCGCCACUCGUCAUCAAGAGCAAGCUCUCAUGUUACCGUCCGACUUGCAUGUGUUAAGCCUGCCGCUAGCGUUCAUCCUGAGCCAGGAUCAAACUCU
rnacentral:rRNA from 1 species